CACACAUACCAGACUGUUACAUGGACGUGGUGUACAGCCAAAUCAUGAGUGCAGAUCUUAGCUUUUCAGAUCCCACGAGGAUUGCGAGGAGUUAAGAAGACUCAAAAUAAGUAUGAGUCAGAUUAAGAUCUUGAAACAGAGGUGGAGGACAGAGAAACUAACAGACAGUGUUACUAGGCAGACACACUGUCAGCAUGUGUGUAUGAGCGGUCUUGUAAGAUAGCCUUACAUGAAGCGCAGGGGAAUGGGAGCUGCGGUACUGCAGGCACAUGUUUAAAUCAGUGGGAAGCUGUGGUAAAGAGGGGGUUAACCCAGUAGCAGCAACGGGCCAAAUUUAUGGCUUUACGGUGUAGGAGCAAAGGGCCAAAUUUGUGCCAUGAUUUAAACCCCCCAAAAUAGAUGAUACAUAAACUGAUCACAAAUUCUUUGAUAUAUAUUAAGAAAUGGUUUAUGUAAGUGAUGAAUUUUUCUCGCUUAGAGGGACCAUCAAGAAACAUGAUCCCUGCUGCUACCAGGUUAAAGGUGCCAUUCAAGAGACAUGGGGCAAUAUUAAACAGGAACUUUUGUAAACCUGAGUGAUUCCUUUCCCAAGCAUGUUCAGAUUGUUAAGAGCUGAGAGUAGCCUACAAGUUAUUCAUUUUAGUGAAUAUCAUCUUUAAUACCAUAUUCAACUCUAUUAAUCAUCCUGUUCCCAAGUACAACAGGUUCAUGCAGCAUCGGCAUCACCUGCCACUGCUAGCACUGUAUGUAUUACUGAUUUUACAACAGCUUUUUCAUUACCACACAAACAUGGCAAGCAAACAAAACCUCUCAGUAUGAACAAAUGACAUCCUGGAGUUGACAACCCCAACACCAAAAUCAAGACUAAUACCAAACAAUAACAGUGGCUAUCGUAAGACUAACACCAACAUCAGUUACAAGGGGUUCCAUUCUUGUCGUCAUUGGACACUGCCAAGACGAGUAGCAUCUGCUUGACCACCAUAGCCUGUACACUUCCUAAAGGCCUAGGUUAAGCCUACAGGUAAUGCAACAUUCAUUGUUGUUGCAUGCUAUUUUUUUAGUCUGAACUUCAGAAAAGUGUCUUCAGCGCCAGCAAAUAUUCAAUAAUUUCUUUAAUACAGAAGGAUGAAUCCCAACCAUAACUUCUUGGGAAACAGGGUCCCCUUAUUAUGAUUAUUAUUACUAAUAUUAUUAUUAAUGAAAGUUGAACAAAUUUUAUGUCAGAAUUUAGAAAGUACAACUAUGAGUAGAUCUGCAUAAUUAAAUGUCCUUUAUUAAUUACCUCUAUAUUCUUUAUGAAACAACGUUUUUUGCAACCAAAGUCCUUUCAUCUGUAGAAAUGCCAUGCAUUCUUUAAAAUACAGGUUGUAGCCUAGUACUAGAUCACAGGAUAUUUUUUGUAACAGGCAUUUAGCUAAAUAAAUUUUGGACAAAAUGUUUCACUGUGUGCAGUGCUAUCAAGAACCUUGUGAUGGGGUCGUGAGGGUGAUACAGAAAGUCUAAUUGGGUCACAUCUAAAACUUUAAGGGCCACUAAUCUAAACCUGGGGUUCUCAAUCAUUGGGUACUUUCCUUUCAAGGUGUUGUAUAUUAACUAAAGGGGUUGUAUGCUAACUCCAGAGAGGUAAUGAAGGUCUUUGUCAAAAAGAUUCUCAAUAAAAAUUGAUAUAGUGUUUGAUGUAGUGUAGAUACCAGCAAACUAGUAAAAUAAUUUAUAAUUUUCAUUGUAAUUUGGUCCCUUGCAAUUCCAAUCAAAUAUUUUAUAUACUUUAUUAUCAUUGAUACAGUGAAUAUUGCUUUGGUAUUGUUACAAAUUUAGAUAUAUAUAGGGUUUUUUUCUGUUUACUAAUUAUUUACUUAACAAAUCUGCAAUAUAUAGUGCAACCAUAUUUCAUAGGAAUGGUUUUAAAAACAAAUGGACAGUAGAGUCUCACCAAUAAUAUCCAAUGGAUGGCGAAUAAAUAAGAUUACUAGUAAAACUGUUAUUUGUGUAACAAUUAGGUAGCUUAUAUGUGAAGCCCUCCUCACAAUUGACUCCAUAGCUUGCCUCACAUUUCCAUCACAACCAAAAAAUAUUUAGCCACUGCAAUACUCUUGUUGGUCACUUGUUAGUUUCUCUUAAUAUUUAGCACUGUUAAUUCUAAACAGUUCUGUUUCCACAUGUCAGUGUACUACGUAUAAUACACCACUUUCAAGAAGUUCAUCAUUCUGUCUUAUCUUUGCCCUCAGUGGAGGUUUCUUGUGGGUGCCUUAAAUUUUUUCCUUACCCAUCCCAAAAUUCUUUGGCAUUCAUGCAGCAAAUCACACCCUGCAUCAUCUCUCAUAGCUCCAACAGGCAAAACUGCAGAACCCAUUAUUAACCACAGACCCUAGUAACCACUGGCUAUAGAGUUAAAAAUGUCAUACUUGGCCAUAACAGUACUUCACUGAGUGUCUAGACAGUGCAAGUGAACCGGGACAGGCAACCACAUCACCAACGUAGCAGCAAACAAAUUCUAUCCGUGACGCACUCACACACUUUCCACAUAAUAUAUGUUACUCAAGAGAAUCUAGAUAGCAUUAUCAAAAUAAAUGCACAUCUUUUCCAACCUACCGUUAUUCUUGAAUACAAUAUUGUAUGUCAUUAUUGGUUAUUGGUGAGAACUUACUGUGUCACUAUGUAGUACCUAUUACUUAAAAAUUGUAUUACUUGCAAUGCCAUUGAGGGGUGAUGUGGUGAGCACCAAUGACAAUGAGAAUUUAUGUGUAAAGAACUCCUGGUCUAAACCAUUUUCAUAAAAAUGUUGUAGUGUUACUUCAUGAUUUAAUUCUAAUCUAAAGUCUCAGGGACUUGAAGCUGCAAAAACUUGAUCUUAUCA